rnacentral:RNase_P_RNA from 1 species
GAAGUAGUCCAGGUGGUCGCUGCCGGUUUGACCGGUGGAGGAAAGUCCGGGCUCCAUAGGGUGUGACGCUGGAUAACGUCCAGCGGGGGUGACCCCAGGGAUAAGUGCCACAGAGAGAAGUCCGCCUGCCUCGGCAGGUAAGGGUGAAAGGGUGAGGUAAGAGCUCACCGGGUCUGACGGUGACGUCAGAUGCCAGGUAAACCCCGUCAGGAGCAAGGCCAAAUAGGGAGGCGUUAAGGGCGACCCGCCCGUGCCUUCGGGUUGGCUGCUUGAGGCUGCCGGUAACGGCAAGCCCAGAUGAAUGGCCAUCACCCGGUAUGGGGUAACCAGUACCGGGAACAGAACCCGGCUUACGGACUGCUUCAACC